AGCAUAUCAAUAAGCGGAGGAAAAGAAACUAACCAGGAUUCCCCUAGUAACGGCGAGUGAAGCGGGAAUAGCCCAAAUUUUAAAUCGGCAUUUGUCGAAUUGUAAUUUAAAGAGAUGUAUACCGCGUCGCGACUUGGUAAAAGUCCCUUGGAAUGAGGCAUCGCAGAGGGUGAUGAUCCCGUAGCAUUGCCGAGUUUGCGUGCGCCAUGUGUUGCGUCUUCAAAGAGUCGAGUUGUUUGAGAUUGCAGCUCCAAAUGGGUGGUAAAUUCCAUCUAAGGCUAAAUAACGGCAAGAGACCGAUAGCGAACAAGUACCGUGAGGGAAAGACGAAAAGAACUUUGAAAAGAGAGUUAAACAGUACGUGAAAUUGUUGAAAGGGAAACGAUUGAGGCCAGUCGUGCUUGCGAGAAAUCAAACAGUUUUGCAGUUCCAUGUGGACGGCAUAUUCUGGUGCACUUUUUCGUUGGCUGGUUAGCAUCAGUUUUGUUUGUUGUAAAAUGGGGGUUGGAAUGUGACUCUUUCGCGGGAGUGUUAUAGCCAACAUCAGAUGCAAUGAACGGGACUGAGGAUUGCGGCAAAUGCCUUUGGGGUACGUACCUGUUCUCUGAACGAUUCACAAGUGGGCGACAGCAUGCUGACGUCUGUUUGUUGGGUCUUCAACGGAAUAGAGUGUGUUAAAUUUGCCAAGGAUGCUGACGUAAUGGCUUUAAACGAC
rnacentral:rRNA from 1 species